GUAAAAUUGCAGUUGAUNNUGUCAGUCUNNNNNANAGUAGAGGUNNNCGGAAUUCGUGGUGUAGCGGUGAAAUGNNUAGAUAUCACGAAGAACUCCGAUUGUGAAGGCAGCUCACUGGACUGCAACUGACACUGAUGCUCGAAAGUGUGGGUAUCAAACAGGAUUAGAUACCCUGGUAGUCCACACAGUAAACGAUGAAUACUCGCUGUUUGCGAUAUACAGUAAGCGGCCAAGCGAAAGCAUUAAGUAUUCCACCUGGGGAGUACGCCGGCAACGGUGAAACUCAAAGGAAUUGACGGGGGCCCGCACAAGCGGAGGAACAUGUGGUUUAAUUCGAUGAUACGCGAGGAACCUUACCCGGGCUUAAAUUGCAGUGGAAUGAUGUGGAAACAUGUCAGUGAGCAAUCACCGCUGUGAAGGUGCUGCAUGGUUGUCGUCAGCUCGUGCCGUGAGGUGUCGGCUUAAGUGCCAUAACGAGCGCAACCCUUAUCUUCAGUUACUAACAGGUCAUGCUGAGGACUCUGGAGAGACUGCCGUCGUAAGAUGUGAGGAAGGUGGGGAUGACGUCAAAUCAGCACGGCCCUUACGUCCGGGGCUACACACGUGUUACAAUGGGGGGUACAGAAGGCAGCUAGCGGGUGACCGUAUGCUAAUCCCAAAAUCCUCUCUCAGUUCGGAUCGAAGUCUGCAACCCGACUUCGUGAAGCUGGAUUCGCUAGUAAUCGCGCAUCAGCCACGGCGCGGUGAAUACGUUCCCGGGCCUUGUACACACCGCCCGUCAAGCCAUGGGAGNNNNGGGUNCCUGAAGUACGUAACCGCAAGGAUCGUCCUAGGGUAAAACAGGUGACUGAGGGUAAGUCGUAACAAGGUAACCA
rnacentral:rRNA from 1 species